GACGAACGCUGGCGGCGUGCUUAACACAUGCAAGUCGAACGGAAAGGCCCUGCUUUUGUGGGGUGCUCGAGUGGCGAACGGGUGUGUAACACGUGAGUAACCUGCCCUUGACUUUGGGAUAACUUCAGGAAACUGGGGCUAAUACCGGAUAGGAGCUCCUGCUGCAUGGUGGGGGUUGGAAAGUUUCGGCGGUUGGGGAUGGACUCGCGGCUUAUCAGCUUGUUGGUGGGGUAGUGGCUUACCAAGGCUUUGACGGGUAGGCGGCAUGAGAGGGUGACCGGCCAAAUUGGGACUGAGAUACGGACCAGACUCCAACGGGAGGCAGCAGUGGGGAAUAUUGCACAAUGGGCGGAAGCCUGAUGCAGAAACGCCGCGUGCGGGAUGACGGCCUUCGGGUUGUAAACCGAUUUCGCAUGUGACGAAGCGUGAGUGACGGUAAUGGGUAAAGAAGCACCGGCUAACUACGUG
rnacentral:rRNA from 1 species